rnacentral:lncRNA from 1 species
AAAAACGCGCGAUGGUCGACGCAAGGGAUGGAGGAGGCCGAUAUGGACGGUGGAGGGGUGACGCAUUUGAAAGGGCGUGUGUGUGUACGUGGAAAGGGGAACGGUGGUGGAACAGGGUUGGUUGUGUGUGGUGCGGUGAGGAUAAAGGGAAGGAAAGCGUUCGAUAAGGGGUCGGCGCGAGGGGAAAAGAGGGUAGUCGUAGGGGGCCUUGUGUGCAUGGAGUUUGAAGGGGUUAAGGGCUUUGGUCGAAUGUGGGUCAGCGAGGAGGGAAGAAGAAAGAAAGGGAAAGGGAGGAGCUAGGUUGUGGGGGCAUGGUUGGUGGUGCGGUGAGGUGAGGUGAGGUGAGGUGAGGUGGCCGAUCUGGUGAGGGAGAGGUUCAGCGGUGACGAGGGAGGAACGGCGGUGGGAAUAGAGGAAGAAAUUGGGAACGGGGGCUAGGGUUAGGGGCUAGUUGGGGAAGAAGACAAAACAAAGAAAAAGAAAGGAGGCUAGGGUUUUAAG